rnacentral:rRNA from 1 species
UAUGAACGCUAGCUACAGGCUUAACACAUGCAAGUCGAGGGACCGGCGCACGGGUGAGUAACACGUAUCCAACCUGCCCUUUACUCGGGGAUAGACUUUCGAAAGAAAGAUUAAUACCCGAUAUAAAGGAUGGGGAUGCGUUCCAUUAGGUUGUUGGUGCGGUAACGGCUAACCAAUCCUUCGAUGGAUAGGGGUUCUGAGAGGAAGGUCACCACCUGUGGAACUGGAACACGGUCAAAACUCGUACGUGAGGCAGCAGUGAGGAAUAUUGGUAAAAGGGCGCUAGCCUGAACCAGCCAAGUAGCGUGAAGGAUGAAGGCUGGUGGGUCGUAAACGUCUUUUAUAUAAGAAUAUGUAUUAUAUGAAUAAGGAUCGGCAAACUCCGUGCCAGCAGCCGCGGUAAUUC